UUUUAAAAUAUAGGGUUUUUCUGAGGUAAAAUCACAAUGGAGCUUUUAAAAUGAUAUAAUAAUAGUGAAUAUUAACUAGUCAUAUCUAAUUGGACACUGUGUAACCCAGAGAGUGAUUCACACGUAUUAACUUGGCUAUUCUUCACCAAAAAUCUCUAUCAUAGAGGGAAGAAAAUUGAGAUCUGAGGAGUUUAGGGUACUGUCCAAGCUCACUGAACUAGAAGCAAAAACUACUAAAGUUGAAGCCCAAGUAACCAGAUUCAGAGCACCAGAAUUUUCUGCUUGCAUUUUCCUACUUGGCACUGAGUGGAAUCUAGAUUUAAAAAAAUGAAAUGGGAAAGAUGCGUAUGGGAAAAUAAGAUUCAGAAAAAAGUAACAGGAAAUAUUUAAAGUUAGAUUAUUAAUCACCAUUAAAAGAGAUAUAGAAUUGCAACGUGUUAUCAUUCAGUGAAACCUAUUACUAUGCUGUCCAUAAAAAAAAAAAACACAUAAGAGAAUCUACACAUAUAAUUUUGAUUGCUUUACCUCUCCUUUGAGAUGUCAAUGACGUUCUAAGCAGUAAAGGGUAGGUAAGCUCAGGCUCCAGAAACUUCUAUUCUGCAAACUUAUUCAGACAUAAAGAUUUGCUACCAACUGUUGGUUAUUGAAAGAGGACCUCUGUUCCUUUCCUGGGUGGCAGCUUCAUUGCGACGUGUCCUAUGGAAUGGCAGCAUGUUGAAGGGCAAGCUUGGCUUUCUUCAUGUAAUAAGUAAUUUCUAUAGCUUUAUUUACAGAUAAAGUCAGCACUCAACAGGGAAAUUUUAGAAAAAGACAAAUACACGGGGAACAAUACGCAGAGGAUAAAAUGCAAGAGUUAACAAAAAAUAUAAACAAAAAGUCCCAUGAGACUCAAGCUGGUGGAAGAAAAGCAAGCAAAAGUCAAGAAUCCUUCACUGGGGAAAAGGUGUACGAGGACACACACAUACACUUACUUGCUCGACAAACCAAUAUCAAUUUGACAUGCGAGUAUUGACUACGCACAAGCUAUGGUCUUAGAAUCACAAGACAAAAGGACAAAUUCUGAACCUGAGGAAAGAGAAGUCGGUGUGAUACUAUAUACUGAACACUGCCUUGGGGCUGUGAAUGAAACACCAGGAAAACAAAAUGCAAACAAUAAACAUGUCAUUGGGGCAUCAGUGCAGGAGACAUUUUAUAAACCAGUGGACUAAAAUCUUGUGAAAAUUUAUGAGUGUCGGUGAGUGCACACCACAAGUAGCAAACAGGUGUGGGAAAUUAGUGAGACAGAGGAGACUACAGAGUAAACUGGAGAGAAAAGAAAGCAAGCUAACAGAGACCUCUCCUCCAUUCCCGUCUGAUUCUUGGCUGCUGUGAGAGCACCUGGUCUGCUUUGCCAUGCGCUUUCUGUCAAGGUCCCAGGUGUGACACCUGUGAGCUGAGAGAAGAAAGGAGUCUCUUCUGUCAGUGUCAGGAAAAUAAUCUAGUCAACUAGUUCAAAGGAGUGAGAAAAUAUGUUUGUAAAUUGUGCUUGUGACUGACACUGUGAACCCCUGGCAGGCUAAAACCUCUGAAAGUUCAGUGACAAAUAUUCAAAGAUGUGUGAUGGCUGUUGAAGCAAACAGGGUGAAAUUAUGCAGAGGAAAAUGCACUUCAUCUCUUCCAAAAUGCAUUGUGCGAAGAGUAAGAGAGCACAGAUCGUGAAAAACCUGUAUCAGGCCUUUUCAGUUCAGAGUUGCUGCAUUUUUACAUGAUCAGAACAAGCAAGCACUCGUAUCAUCUGUGACAUCCUAACCUUUGUUUUCUGGAAUGUGACUGUAAGAAAACCCUUUGUCUUUAGACCAAUGCCUCCACCAUCUUCGGCUUCAGAAGGAAGCACAUUGAGUAGAACUCCAUUGAGUUUGUCUUCGGUCUGAAAGUUUGCACUUUUGCUGGUGAUGUUUGUUAUCAGGGUGUUCAUUUAAAAUGCCUUCAUUAUUUCAAGCCAUUCUUUAAGCACUUCCUAUUUAGUAACUUGUGGCAAAGACAAAUGGUCAAGAGGACCAGUCAGGAUGUAAUGAAUGGGUUGUCUAAUGGCAUCAUUGGGAUAGACCUCCUCCUUCAUUAUACAGCAUUUCUGUUGAUUCAUCCCAACAUCAUGCUCUUACUAAUAAACGCACGAUUGCUGACUUGGCUUCUUGCAGGUGGUCUGUUAAAACUGCUGAGUCCUUACAGCUUACACAGACGACAUGUUGAAAUAGUGAAGUGUCAUAACCUGCAUUUCAUCCCAAAAUGGCAUCUUAAAAUGAUUAUAUUUUGCAGAGGAAAAUAAUGAUUAUGUUGAUAUUUGGAGCUUCAGAUUAUGUCAGAGCCCGGAAGAGACAAAAAUGCUUGCUUAUAUACCCAUGCUGGUGGACAAAUGACAGAAGUCAUGGAUUAUAUUUAACGAUUAUUACAUGCUAGGCAUAUUUUCUCUGCUUUAUAUCUGCUCAUGUUCUUUUCUGUUUAAUGUUCACCAAACGAAUGCAUUUUAUUAACUUUGGUUUGUAAUGGAGGAUACUGAGGUGCAGGGAAUGCUGUCUGAGGACACAUAGCUAUGAAAUAAUAGAGCAAGGAUUCUGUUAUUUGGGUUCCAGAGAAAGCUUCUAGUGUUUCAGAAAAAGUUGUCAUUAGAAUGUCUCAGGUCCAGAACCCGCAUACACACACACACACACACACACACACACACACACACACACACACACACACACACUCAUGCUCACAAACAUCAGAAUAAUGCAUUUAAAGAUGGAAUUAACAUUGGGUUUGGGGGGAAAAAAAACACAGACUGGUACUAAAGAUCUAUUGGA